GAUCUAAGUUCUGAUGAGACUAGUGAUUUGUGGGUAACUGCAAAAGAAGUUGGUGCAAAGCUCGAGCAGUACCACAAAGCUUCUUCCAUCACAUUCGCGAUUCAGGAUGGUCCUCAGGCUGGCCAAACAGUUGCCCAUGUCCACAUCCACGUCAUCCCCAGGAAGAAAGGAGAUUUUGAGAAAAACGAUGAAAUAUAUGAUGCGAUUGACGUGAAAGAGAAGGAAAUGAAGGAGAAGCUUGACCUGGACGUCGAAAGAAAAGAUAGAAGCAUGGAAGAAAUGGCUCAUGAGGCCACCGAGUACCGCGCUCUUUUCUCCUAG
rnacentral:rRNA from 1 species